AAAUGAUGGACGCAAUAUAGUGGGAGUUUUAAAAGGCUUUGAUCAAGCUACAAACAUCAUAUUGGAUGAAUCUCAUGAGAGGGUUUACUCCACAAAGGAAGGUGUCCAGCAACUUGUUCUAGGUCUGU